rnacentral:rRNA from 1 species
AGUCAAUGCUCGCAAGAGUGAACUAGCUAACUGAAAUCACAAAAUAACUUAAUUGUGCUUAUUGUGAUAACGUAAGGGAAAAAAAUGAUAUUACCUUACUAUAAGUGUUGUCUAAAUUACUGGUGCCAGAAGACUCGGUAACACCAGAAACGCGAACGUUAGUCGUCUUAAACAGGCGUAAAGAGUGAGUAGGCUGCUUUAAAAUUCUAAAUUAAAUUAAGCCAUAUAAAAUUAACAGUCUCAGCCCUUACUUUCCCAGCUAUUGCUUUGCAAGUAAGGAGGGAAAAUAAAUUAAAAUAAUAGAGAUCUAAAAAAAAUCUGUAAUUUUAUAUUAUAUUUAAUUUAAGAAAAAUAAAAGCUAGAAUCUUAUUGAGGAUAAACCAAAUAAUACUUAUGUGUAGGGAUGAUAUCCUUAGAUACUAAGUGGAAUACUAAUGGUGAAGACUUUUUAUCUACUAAAGAUUAACGCUGAGGAACGAAAGUGAGAAUAGGGAAUAGGAUUAGAUACCCAGUUACCUCUCACCGUCAACGAUGAAUGGUAGUUGUUAGUUUAAUAAAAUUGAUAACGAUGUUAACGCGAUAACCAUUCCGCCUUGAGAGUACGGUUGCAAAACUGAAACCAAAAAAAUUAGUCGGUCUCGGAGCAAACGAAGUGAAGCAUGUUAU